CACAAAAGAACCUCCAUGGUGUCCAUUCCCUGCACGCGUGAAGAAGAAAGGUUCCAGUAGCUGUUCUUUGGCUUGAUGUUGUCGCCAUCGGCGACCAUUUGCUGUGAUAUUGCUUAGCCAGUAUCUCCGGUGUGUUGUCGUUCCAACGGACCCAAGCUCGAUUGGAACCGAGGUCUAAGCCGUCCGGAAUCAACCAAACACCAGUGGUCGUUCUGUUGUCCCCAUGAUGCCCUUCUCCUGUUCUGCAGACCUCUGCCGCCAUUGUUCAUCUGCACGGCGUUGUUACCACUGGUGACCAUUUGCCAAGAAAUUGCUCAGGUCACAUCCCUAGGGUGUUGCAUUUCCAACCGACCCGAGCUUGACCGGAGUGGUGGUCGGUGUCGGCCAGAAUCACGAGAUUCACGUUCGCCUAUCAGCUGUUCUUGAGGUGCCCUUCCCUUGUUCUGCAGACCUCUGCCACUGUUGUUCAUCUGCACGACGUUGUUACCACCAGCGACCAUUCGCUGAGAAAUUGCUCAGGUCACAUCCCCGGGGUGUUGCACUUCCAACCGACCCAAGCUCGACUGGAGUAGUGGUCGGCGUCGGCCGAAAUCACGAGACUCCCGUCCACCUAUCUGCUGUUCUUGAGGCACCCUUCGCUUGUUCUGCAGACCUCUGCCGCCAUUGUUCAUCUGCACAGCAUUGUUACCACCAGCGACCGUUUGCCGAGAAAUUGCUCAGGUCACAUACCCGGGUGUUGCGCUUCCAACUGACCCGAGCUCGACCGGAGUGGUGGUCAGUGUUGGCCGGAAUCAUGAGAUUCUUGUUCGCCUAUCUGAAAUUAUACUACUCCUCAUAAGGAGGUUCCAGACUUGCAGCUGCAUUGAAGUUGUACCAAUAGCGAAGGACGGAUAAAUGGUAGCUUAUAAUAAGCCACACACGUACAUAAACAUAAGUGGUUGCAUAUUUCAUUUGAAUCUUGAACCAUUUGAGCCUCCAGGAAGUUAUCUCUCGGCUACUGCUGCAGUUGUUAGUGGUGCCAGGCGAAGCGUCGUUGGCACCAUGGAGGGAGGUGACAGCUGCCUUCACAUUGCAAUGUACAAUGAACCUAAAAUGAUCAGAUGCAUUCUGUGAAGCCUUAAACUCUCCAGCUCCCAUGCUUCAACGCAUCUCUAACAUCACACUCCUGGCGAGCAUCUCUCAGCUUAGGCGAUCUUUGACAUAUUCGGCUCAGGUGAACUCCCUCCUUCCCUCUCUCUCUCUCUCGAUUGCUGGCUUCUUAAUAAGCUUUUGGCAUACUAGUGUUCGUCUGAUUUGGCGUUUUUAUGCACAUUGCACGUUUUUUUCCUCUGUUUCCCUACUUUUCUGCACAUUACUGCAGAAAUUCCUUCAAAUUGCAGGGUGAUCAUGGAUUAUGGUUUUCGGUGUUCGUUUCUUUUUUCCCCAAUAGCAGAAUACAUUCAGGCUCCUACUAUAUAGUAUGUGUUCAGGAAUUUUUUGUAUUUCUAUUCUGUGUUGCUCAAAUUCUUUCUUGCAGAAGCUUGUAACUUUCUUUUUCACUUUUCAACUGUUUUUUGUCUAAUUCAAGCAACUAGAUGUAAA